rnacentral:rRNA from 1 species
CCUACGGGGCGCAGCAGUGGGGAAUAUUGGACAAUGGGCGAAAGCCUGAUCCAGCCAUGCCGCGUGUGUGAAGAAGGCCUUCGGGUUGUAAAGCACUUUCAGUGGGGAAGAAAGCCUUGGGGCUAAUACCCUCGAGGAAGGACAUCACCCACAGAAGAAGCACCGGCUAACUCCGUGCCAGCAGCCGCGGUAAUACGGAGGGUGCGAGCGUUAAUCGGAAUUACUGGGCGUAAAGCGCGCGUAGGCGGUCUGAUAAGCCGGUUGUGAAAGCCCCGGGCUCAACCUGGGAACGGCAUCCGGAACUGUCAGGCUAGAGUGCAGGAGAGGAAGGUAGAAUUCCCGGUGUAGCGGUGAACUGCGUAGAGAUCGGGAGGAAUACCAGUGGCGAAGGCGGCCUUCUGGACUGACACUGACGCUGAGGUGCGAAAGCGUGGGUAGCAAACAGGAUUAGAUACCCCAGUAGUC